UACGUAGGUGGCAAGCGUUGUCCGGAAUUACUGGGUGUAAAGGGCGUGUAGGCGGGGAUGCAAGUCAGAUGUGAAAUUCCGGGGCUCAACUCCGGAGCUGCAUCUGAAACUGUAUCUCUUGAGUGUUGGAGAGGAAAGUGGAAUUCCUAGUGUAGCGGUGAAAUGCGUAGAGAUUAGGAGGAACACCAGUGGCGAAGGCGGCUUUCUGGACAAUAACUGACGCUGAGGCGCGAAAGCGUGGGGAGCAAACAGGAUUAGAUACCCCU
rnacentral:rRNA from 1 species